GAUUGAGUUCCUGAAGAUGGGAGAAACAAGGGAGGAGGAGGAGGAUGUGUGUGUGGGAAAGAAAGGGAGAGGAAGAUAGAUGAGAGAAAAAUGCAGCCAGACACAAAGUUUAUCACUGCUGACUGACGAGAAUCUCUCAAAUGUCAGCGUGUUUGUUUUCAUGCUUGGACCAAAAGUGUGCGCAUGGAGCUUCGUGACCCCGGAGAGCAAGAAUCCAUUCAAUAAAUCAAUGAAACACAAACGAGACAGAAUCAGGCAACAUCCGAGAAAAGAAAAGCGAUGUACAUAAUGAGCAGGGAGAGGAGAGGAGAGGAGAGGAGAGGCUGGAGUUGUGGGAGGAAAGAUUGGAGAGAGGGGGGCUGCGAGAGGGGUUGACAGCCAAGUGGAGAGGAGACAGAUGGGCGCAAAGAGAAAACUCGAGACAUCCACCGCUGAUUGCAUCAACAGGUCUGAGCCCCUCCAGUGUGUUUUCAACUCGGGAACAAAGGUGUCUGCGACUGAAAGAUGAAAACCGCGACAACUGAUGAAGAUGGUAUAGAGUUCAGACGCACGUUUGUGUGGGCUGUCUAAUUGAGGAGAUUGUUUGAUUCCUCUCCCUCUGCGUUUCCCUCUCUGAAGACCUGUCAAAGUCGCAAUCAGCGCAAAACAACACAGCAUAGAGGGAUUGGAGGAGCAGGAGGGAAGAAGAGUGGAGAUGGAAAGACGCGUUUAGGAAGAAAAAGGAGGGAGUUUACGCCCACCGCCUAAAGAGAUGAGAAGACAGGCAGAGGAGGGGAGAAUGUGUGGAGGAAGCAGUGUGUGAGAGUGCCAGAGCUCAUCAGCUUGUCAAACAUCCGUUAUAGACCACAAACCCACACAGCCAUCGUGCUGCUGAGGCCUAUCACUUAACAGGUGGCCACAUUUACGCACAUCGACUUGAGCAGCGUCCACAAAGCGCAAGCAAGUCUUGGAUGAUUUCCAUGCAGUGCAGGGUGAUCCACAGUGAGUCACUCUCAUUGAUCAGAAAAUAAAACCGGUCUCCAUACUGAUGGUUCCUUCACCCCACUCCUGGGCUCCUAACUGUUUUAGCUCGGCGCUGGCACAAUCCGAGUUGCGCUCUCUCAGCCCUGCCCACGUUUGAACCCUUAUUAUUCCUCACUGUGCUCAUAGUUUUGUAAUUCUGACUGCUGACGCACUGCAUCUAAAUUCAUCAUCCACUCUCCCUCGGGGGUUACAUCAGGGCUUUUGUUUUUUUUGUGUGUGUGUUUUGUUUUGUUUUGUUUUGGGUUUUUUUUUUUACGUCAGGUACCCCCCAGAUAUAGAUACAGUUUAGUCCUCAGGACAUUUUCACAGGAGCCCCGUCGAAUGAGGUUAAUUUUCUUUGUUUCCAAUGUGAGUGGGAAAUGAAGCAUCAAGUGAUACCUCUAUUUAGUGUAGUCAAUCCUCAUCAAAGCCUUGAAUUGUACCAAUAAAACCCUCUCAAGCGG